CGAUGAUAAGGUUUUCAGGAACAUCUUUUGAUGAUUCCAGUUCCUGUACAACCGGUUCUUUCUUUGAAAACAGCAUUGACAGAUCUCUUGCAUGACAGCUGCAGGCAAUCCAUGAUCUGUGUACUGUCCUGCUGUCCUGCUGUGCAACAUAAGGAUUUGAUCCACAACUGCGAGAGUUACCUCACAUUCAAGGAUACUGGACGUAUUGGAGCAAAAGCUGAUAUCUGCCAACUGAAGUAACAAAGACAAGGAGGUGUCUCAACAUGAGAAGCACUCUGUGGAUGGAGGGUGUGGAUUCCAGUUCUCUCAUGCAAAUAGCACCGGCUUCAAACUUGCUCACAGGCCAAGAGCUGCCAUAAACCUGUUUCGGAUAGGAACCACACCCCUUUCUUCUUCAAGCGUUCAAAGUUCAUUUAUGGUGUGUAGACAAUGGAGGUUUUGAUAGUCAGUUAUCUUUUCAAGCAAAUGUAAAGAAAGGCUUUGCACUUUUUACAUAUAAUAUGGUAAUAUGUAAUUAUCUUUAACACUACUUGUUAACUUAUUUGAUGACACUUACCUAUCAUAAGUAUUCACCCCCCCCCUUGGAUUUCAUCACAUUCCAUUGUGACAAAGUGGGAUUCAAAUGUAUAUAAUUGUCAUUUUUUUGAAAAUGAUCUACACAAAAUAUUCUGUAAUGUCUAAAUGGAAGAUUGUUGUAAUAAAAAAAAGAUGAAUGGCAAAUAAAAUCCCAAUUUACCUUGAUUUAACCCCUGCUCCCUCCCCGAGUCAAUGUUGUGUUAGAAACAACUGGCAGCGAUUACAGCUGUGAGUCAUCUUGGGUAAGACUCUAAGAGCUCUGCACACCUGGAUUGUGCAAUAUUUGCCCAUUAUUCUUUUCAAAAUUCUUCAAGCUCUGUCAAGGUUUUGGUGACAAUGGCUAGACAGCUAUUUUAAAGUCUUGCCAUAGAUUUUCAAGUAGAUUUAAGUCAAAACUGUAACUUGGCCACUAAGGAACACUCACUGUCUUCUUGGUAAACAACUCCAGUGUACAUUUGGCCUUGUGUUGUCCUGUUGAAUAGUGUAUUCUAACUCCGAGUGUCUUGUGUAAAGCAGACUAAAGCAGGUUUUCCUCUAGGAUUUUGUCUGCUUAGCUCCAUCCUGUUUCUUUUUAUCCUGGAAAACUCCUCAGUCUUUGCUGAUGUCAAAAAUACCCAUACCAUGGUGAAGCCACCACCAUGCUUGAAAAUAAGGAGGCAGUUACUCAGUGAUGUGUCCCAAACAUAAGGCUUUGCAUUUAGGUCAAUGUGCCAUGUGUUGUUGUUUGUUGCCUUGUUGCAUGCAGGAUGCAUGUUUUUGUAUUCUUAUUUUCAAUCUGUCAUUAAGUUCAUUAUUGUGGAGUCACUGCAGUGUUGUUGAUAAAAACCAUGCUCUCAUUAAGAGUCUGUUUGAUUGAGUGUGUGGACAGAUGUCUUUUAUACAGGUUACGAGUACAAACAGGUGCAGUUAAUAC